rnacentral:rRNA from 1 species
AGGACGAACGCUGGCGGCGUGCUUAACACAUGCAAGUCAAGGGGGCCCGCAAGGGCAACCGGCGAACGGGUGCGUAACACGUGAGCAACCUACCGAGAUCUGGGGGAUAGCCGGCCCAACGGCCGGGUAAUACCGCAUACGCUCUUUCCACGGCAUUGUGGAUUGAGGAAACCUCCGGGGGAUUUCGAGGGGCUCGCGGCCUAUCAGCUAGUUGGCGAGGUCACGGCUCACCAAGGCGACGACGGGUAGCUGGUCUGAGAGGAUGGCCAGCCACAUUGGGACUGAGAGACGGCCCAGACUCCUACGGGAGCAGCAGUGGGGAAUCUGCGCAAUGGCCGAAAGGCUGACGCAGCGACGCCGCGUGUGGGAGGAAGCCCGUUCGGGUGUAAACCGACUGGUUCGGCCCCGGGAACGAACGAGCCUCCGUUCGUGGACGCCGUGGACCGGUACCGGGUGACGGAAGCCGACCGGCUAACCGUCCGCGACCAGACAGGUCCGC